rnacentral:rRNA from 1 species
GGACUACUGGGGUAUCUAAUCCUGUUUGCUCCCCACGCUUUCGCGCCUCAGCGUCAGGGACGGUCCAGAUGGCCGCCUUCGCCACCGGUGUUCUUCCCAAUAUCUACGAAUUUCACCUCUACACUGGGAAUUCCACCAUCCUCUCCCGUCCUCUAGCCCGUCAGUCUCGAGUGCACCUCCACGGUUGAGCCGUGGGCUUUCACACCCGACUUGAAAGGCCGCCUACGCGCCCUUUACGCCCAGUAACUCCGAACAACGCUAGCCCCCUUCGUAUUACCGCGGCUGCUGGCAC